AUGACAAUCAACAACCCUUCAAUCCUCUACCCACGAACACCAUCCGCCCAUGUUCCGUUCAACAACCCACGAUUCCAGAAACCCUCUGCCUCUGUUCCAGCCGUUCAACACCCAAUCACCAUUACCAUCACAACCUCUCUCUGUCGAUUCAAAUUUAUUUUUGUUGUUCUGUCUGUGAAACAGCAGCAACUGCAUCAUCACCGAUUUCACCAUCGUCCUUCAUCAAUACGGCUUCCGCGAUUUCCAGCAACUCCUCCCUCUGUCCGCGAAACAACAGCAACUGCAGCAUCACCAUCCUCUAUCCAUCAAUUCUUCCCAGCAAAUCGUACACCACCGUAA
rnacentral:lncRNA from 1 species